rnacentral:rRNA from 1 species
UUGAUCCUGGCUCAGGACGAACGCUGGCGGCGUGCCUAAUGAAUGCGAGUCGAACGGAACAUAGAGAUCGUGAUUGCUUUCGGGCGGUCACCCUUUAUGUUUAGUGGCAAACGGGUGAGUAACACGUGGAUAACGUGCCUUCAAGCCGAGGAUAACAGGGCGAGAGUCCUGCUAAUACUCGAUGGUCUGCCCCUGCUUUGGCGGGGACCAGUAAAGCUCCGGCGCUUGGAGAUCGGUCCGCGGUCCAUUAGCUUGUUGGUGGGGUAAUGGCCCACCAAGGCGACAAUGGGUAGCUGGUCUGAGAGGACGAUCAGCCACACUGGGACUGAGACAUGGUCCAGACUCCUACGGGAGGCAGCAGUGGGGAAUAUUGCACAAUGGGCGAAAGCCUGAUGCAGCGACGCCGCGUGGAGGAUGAAGGCCUUCGGGUCGUAAACUCCUGUCUGGGGGGAUGAAUUUUUGACAGUACCCCCGGAGGAAGCCCCGGCUAACUACGUGCCAGCAGCCGCGGUAAUACGUAGGGGGCAAGCGUUGUCCGGAAUUACUGGGCGUAAAGCGCGCGUAGGUGGCUUGUUAAGUCAGGUGUCAAAAUGCGGAGCUCAACUCCGCAGCGCACUUGAAACUGGCAGGCUUGAGUGCAGGAGAGGAAAGUGGAAUUCCUAGUGUAGCGGUGAAAUGCGUAGAUAUUAGGAGGAACACCAGUGGCGAAGGCGACUUUCUGGACUGCAACUGACACUGAGGCGCGAAAGCUAGGGGAGCAAACAGGAUUAGAUACCCUGGUAGUCCUAGCCGUAAACGAUGGGUACUAGGUGUUGGGGGUGACAAUCCUCCAGUGCCGCGGUUAACGCAUUAAGUACCCCGCCUGGGGACUACGGCCGCAAGGCUGAAACUCAAAGGAAUUGACGGGGGCCCGCACAAGCAGCGGAGCAUGUGGUUUAAUUCGAUGCAACGCGAAAAACCUUACCAGGGCUUGACAUCCUCUGAAGCUAUAAGAGAUUAUAGUGUCCCUUCGGGGCAGAGAGACAGGUGGUGCAUGGUUGUCGUCAGCUCGUGUCGUGAGAUGUUGGGUUAAGUCCCGCAACGAGCGCAACCCUUAUUCUCAGUUGCCAGCACGCAAAGGUGGGCACUCUGAGGAGACUGCCGGUGACAAACCGGAGGAAGGUGGGGAUGACGUCAAAUCAUCAUGCCCCUUAUGUCCUGGGCUACACACGUGCUACAAUGGCCUGAACAACGGGCGUGCGAAGGAGCGAUCCGGAGCAAAUCCCUUAAAUCAGGUCCCAGUUCGGAUUGCAGGCUGCAACUCGCCUGCAUGAAGCAGGAGUUGCUAGUAAUCGCGGAUCAGCAUGCCGCGGUGAAUGCGUUCCCGGGCCUUGUACACACCGCCCGUCACACCACGAAAGUUUGCAACACCCGAAGCCGGUGAGCUAACCGUAAGGAGGCAGCCGUCGAAGGUGGGGCAGAUAAUUGGGGUGAAGUCGUAACAAGGUAACCGUAAUCUCU